rnacentral:lncRNA from 1 species
UUAACAUUUUGAGUAUCUCUUCGACUCAUUUACACCCUUAGUAACAAUCACAUCUUGCAUCUGCCUUUGAAUUAUCUCUGCGUCCACCCGUAAAAAUUCAGGUUCCUAUCUAAUCAGAAAUACAAUCCCAAAAAAAAAAAUUUAACCAAAAAGUACUACCAUAUGUGUGACAACCCAAAAUAGGUCCAUUCCAUCCAACCCAUUCUGAGUCGCCAAAUACAUAGUACAGAAAACAACUACAACUUUAUUACAACAAUUGUCGUACAAAAUACAACAACACAUAUGCUGUGAGUUUGGAUACAAAUAUAUACCAAAUGUGACACAUGUCCCAACCGUGGACAACACCUCACAGUGACACCUUACAUAAAGUUAUUGUGGCGACCCCAAAUCCGGAUACUUGAAACCCGAACUUGGUU